UACGUAGGGCGCGAGCGUUGUCCGGAAUUAUUGGGCGUAAAGAGCUCGUAGGCGGCCUGUUACGUCUGCUGUGAAAUCCCGGGGCUUAACCCCGGGCGUGCAGUGGAUACGGGCAGGCUGGAGGCAGGCAGGGGAGAACGGAAUUCCCGGUGUAGCGGUGAAAUGCGCAGAGUAUCGGGAGGAACACCGGUGGCGAAGGCGGUUCUCUGGGCCUGUACUGACGCUGAGGAGCGAAAGCGUGGGGAGCGAACAGG
rnacentral:rRNA from 1 species